UGUCAUGCCAUGAUAGCAGUAAAUCAGGAAUCUGAGCUCCGGACGAGUGUAGCACCUCUUGUUGAGCUGCUUGAUGCAAUCUCAGUGUGAAAGUCCCCUUUAGGGAUUGAAUGUAUUUCUGGUCUCAAACAUUCAAAGUACGUACAUAACUAAACACAUACCUAAACACAGACACACACACACACACACACACACACACACAUCUAAUUAUUGUGAUGAGUUAUAUGUGAACAUUGUUUAACUCAGGUGUUUAACCUACAGUUUCCACUACCUCUGUAGUGAAAUGUCAGGCCCAUUAGGUAAAGCAUGAAGACCAGAUCCCUUCAGUCUCUCAUAAUUAUACUAUAGUUCUUCAAUGAUGCAAUUUCAGUGUGAAAGUCCCCUUUAGGGAUUGAAUGUAUUUCUGGUCGCAAAAUUACGAACAUAACUAAAGCACUCUCUCUCUCCCUCCAUCACUCUCUUUUACCCUCCCUAAUUCUCCCCCAUUAUUUUCUCAUUCCCUCCCUCUUUUUUCCCAUCCCUCUCUCCUUCCCAUCACUCUCUCCCUCCCUCCCUCCUUCUCCCCCGUCACUCUCUCUCCUUCCUUCCUUCUCUCCAUCACUCUCUCUCCCUCUCUCUCUGAAUCUCUAUCCCUCCCAUGUAUUCUAUCCUUUCCUUCCCCAGAUGUUCUCCUGGUCGCUGGAGUUGUUGUCUCUGUCAGUCUGUUGGCUGCUGCAUUGAUGAUAAUUGUGGUGAUAUGCAAGAGAAGGACAAAUGCUAGAGGAGAGCCAAGACACAAAUCAACUCAAAGCAGGAGCAGUGCCAUAGUCAUGCCACCAAACUCCUCAGCUAAUAAGCAGUCUGAGGACACCGUGACCUACAGCACCAUCAUGCAGUUAUCUGGUGGUGAAGACCAGAACAGCAGCAGACCUGCUGGCAGACCAGCGGAUCCCAAUGCUAUGUAUGCUACUGUUCAGAAGAAUAACAAGAUACAGAAUUAACAGUCAUUUGGAUACACAUACACAUACACAC